UACGAAGGGAGCUAGCGUUGUUCGGAAUCACUGGGCGUAAAGCGCACGUAGGCGGAUGUGUCAGUCAGGGGUGAAAUCCCAGAGCUCAACUUCGGAACUGCCUUUGAUACAGCACAUCUGGAGUCCGGAAGAGGUGGGUGGAAUUCCUAGUGUAGAGGUGAAAUUCGUAGAUAUUAGGAAGAACACCGGUGGCGAAGGCGGCCCACUGGUCCGGUACUGACGCUGAGGUGCGAAAGCGUGGGGAGCAAACAGG
rnacentral:rRNA from 1 species